CGAAGCCCAGGUACUUGGUCCACACAGUGUGAUGCGGGCGUAUUUUGGACGGCACAACUGGUCUGUUAUUUGUACGAGUCCGCAGUCUGCAUUCUAGUACAUGGAUUUGAGAGGCAGCAGUGCGUCAGUGGUUUGUGUGUAUGUGGUAAGUUCCUGGAAGAACCUAGUGGUUUCGUAUUAGAAGUUCAAGUUGAAGAAUGGCAUUGCUGCCUUCCAACAAGUGUUCUGGGACACUUUUUUUUAUUACCGUUCUUACUGAUACGUGAUGGUGGUCAGAAGGCUUUCCCCCCCGGCUUUUCCCCACAAAGAACAUCUAGACAGAUGACAGCUUCGGUCCCCUGACACCUUCUGUGGUGCUGUUACGGUCUUGCCCCCGGUGUGCUGUGGAUGUGGACGCUUCCCGUCCUGUGGGCCCUACCACGUCGGGGUCCGUCACCGCACCAGCUUCCGUGGCUUAUUCCCGCAAGGUUGUUUUAACCGAAGUAGAACUGCAGAAGUGGGGGUAGUGGCGGCAUGGCCAUCUGUCGCCUUGUGUCGGAUGAGCCCUGAUGGUUUGGCAGCUAGGAGAGAGGCAGUACGUGACACCAGUCUCCUGCGGAGGUUGGAAACCUUCCCUGCAUUUUGGGCAGAAGGUUGAGUGCAUGUGUUGUCAGUCCAGUACGAGAAGGCCACGUGGCCUCAGCGUUGGAGAUCCUGUACCUCAAGGCCUCCCCACGUGUGGUUCACGUGGCCCCUGCUUUUGCCUUCGGGAAGUCCGCGUGCUGUCCCGCUGUUGGAUGGUAGCCCUGCGCCCCAUUCUGGUGCAGCGCCCGGUGUCCGCGGUGUGUGGCGUGCCGCGCCUCACCUCACCUCGGGCGGUGGCCGAGUGCCUGGUCUCAGACGCUCCUCCUGCUCGGACAGGUGUCCUGCUGCACGUCUGUCACCUCUUUUCCUGGUGGCUCUUCUAAGAGUCCCUGCAUGGGAAUCUCAAGGCUGAGCCCGGCUCCCCGAGCGCCAGUGGACAAGCGUGCCCGGAGGGUGGGUGCGGCCGGCGCGUGCGCGGCGUGAGCGCGGCACAGAGGCGUUGGGCUGCAGAACCGGUGUCCUCUGGCAGCAUCCGGCGGGGCGGGUCCGGGGAGGCGUCUCCGGCAUCACUUACUGACUUGCUUUGUGGUUUUUCUGCAAGUACCCUUAGCACCUUCAGUACCACAUGGUCUGCCGCUCUCCAGACGAAUGUGACACGUGAUUGGCGUCCUCAUUUUAGUCAGCGUUCCAUGUAUUGCCGUUAGGGCGGAAGGAAGGGGAAGGGGUUUUUUGUCGUUUUCUUUUAUUUGCCCCAUUCUCUUUUCUUUCGGCGGCUUAACUCCCACUUCUGUGGUGACUGAUCCCACUCCUUUGCCCGGGAUUUCAGGCUUCGUUUUAGGCUCACGUUUCCGAUCUGCAUGCAUUGCUUGCCUUUUCCUGGUAUUGGGAUGUUGGUUCCUUGUUCUGGGAGCCCAACAUUAGUUUCCAAAAUUAUCACGGGACUUGUGACUGCACAAGACCUGAACCUGUAUAAAAUGUCCUGGCCUUCCUCACUGACCUGCUGUAGUGUUCUUGUGUCGUGUGCGUGUGACGUCUGGCUGCCACGUGAAGCUUCAGAGGAGAACCUUAAGCGCAGACCAUCCUUUUUUGCAUGCUCUAUUCUAAGUAGGAUGUUCAAUGUAACUAACUGAACUUGCAUGUGAGAGAUAUUUAGGUUUUUUGUUUUCUAUCUUUGUUUUUAUUUGUUUUCAGCUGUCUGUAUAUUUGCUUCCUGUGCUGUUGUAGUGGUCGUAGGAUACAGAUGCACUGGUGAAGCAGUGUAGUGCCAGCAGAAGGUGAUUUUCCAGCCCUGUCUGUCGUGCAGCAUUUGAAGGGACUGUGCAUUCUUGAAACUCUCACAGUUACUUCUAAGCCAGAGUUCAUUCCUAUUAUUGUUUUACGUGCCAAACCCCGAAGUGCAUUGGGCUUGAAUCUCUGAACGCUGUGGACCCAUUAGAAGACUGUUCUGAUUGUCACAAAUUGUAGUGCCUGAAAACAUUCUUAAGCUGAUUGUCUUAAAAAAAAAAAAAAAAAAAAAAAAAAAGAAAAAAAAAAGAAAGUUCUCCAAAGACAAAACAGGAACAAUUAUUAUAACAGAAAAUAAUUAUGGUUGAAAUGUCUGUGGUUCCUUGGAAAUGCUGCGCUUUUUGUAUUUUCCACCGUUAGUGCAGUUUGAACGAAUGUGUAUAGUUCAGAGGUCUUCGUGUUCGCAUUUUAAAAUUAGGUAAAUGACCUCAUCUUUCAAGCUUGAAUUCAUUUUUAAUUUUAAUUUUAUUUUAUACAAUGUGUAGACAGUUCCCUGUUCUCUGCAUUUAGAAGUAUAAACAAUAUAAAUCUGUUAAUUCUGUAAGUAAUUUUUAUAAUUAUGAUGUAACUCUAUCCUAUCCUUAAAACAUUUAAAAUAAACCCUUUAUGUGCAACUUCUGACUGUAAAUUUUGUGCUCAUAAGCAAAAUGUGAUGUGUUAAACCUGCUUCUGAAAAAGUUUUUAAAGUUUUACUUUAAGAUCCUUUCACCACGUGUAAAUGUCAGAUAUAUGCAGAGACAGAAAGAAGUCCGACUUUUACUUGAAUGGUAACACUCAGUAAUUCCCGAGGGGAGAGGGGCAGUGAUCAAUAUCCCAAAUACAUUCACUAGUCCAAAAUAUUCAGUUUGUGAUUCGCCGCUAAUGAGAAAAUUUAUCAUAAAAUUUUAAACUGAAUUGUUUUAAAUAGAAUUAAAUAAUAUGUAUUUUAUACUUUCACAUCUAGUUCUGCUUUGUAUAUUGCCUGUAAUGCUGUUAAUACUUCAGUACCAACUGGUGAGAGUCUGUAGGGGGAAAGCCCCAUGUCUUGACGGCAGGGACGAGGAAGCGCAUAGGUAAUGGCCGGGACGGGUGCAUGUUGUGUUUUAUCUUCUGGGCGAUUAUAAUCAGGAAGAAAGUAGAUUCACAAUGUGUCUGUAAUCACAUUUGUUUUUUGCUGUUUCCCUAUUGAGUUGGGCCAAAGGAUCUUGUGGUUAAGGCUGGGGUGGGACAGGCCACCUUCUCGCUGCCAGAGUUGGCUGCAGGAAUGCCCCCUCCCCCCCCCCCCCCCCCCCCCCCCCCCCCCCCCCGCCCGGGCUGGGUGGAGGCGCCCGCCCGCUGGAGGCCGGAUCUCGCGUCCUCCUCCUGCCACACCUCAGCCUUUUUGUGCUACUGCACAUGUAGCUCGGGAAGCGUUUUCCCUACAAAUGACAGCAAGUCUCGUCAGAAGUUGAUGGUCGCUGGCUGCCGUCUAUAGGCCAGCGAGUGGGUCUGCACGGCUUGGAGAAUCAUGGGUGGGCCUGCCGGUUUGACCGCUCUCGGCACGGCCACGGCGCUGGUGGUGAGUAAAGCGUGACAGAUGCUCUGAAGUCCUUGGCCAUCGCUGUGUGAGACUUCUGAUGGGGGGAGGGGAGGCGCACCUUUUCUCCGUGGUGCCGAUGAGGAGGGCGUGGAGGCCACGUGUCUGGUCCAGGAGGAUAACCAGCCUCAGUGCAGGGAUCUGAAGGACCCAAAGUCCAGCCAUCUCUGUGGCUAGUUUGGUACCCUUGCUUCCUAAGUGAGGGCAGGAAGUGUUUUCUUAUUUUCCAAUUAUGCUGAAGAAAUAUCAAUUUCCCUUUCAAGAUUGUAGAAACUAUUUUAUAGUUAAAGAUAUUUUAAAUAUGUCAUUACAUUCAUAUUCUUACAAAAGCUGCAUUUCUUAUGCCCACAGAACACCACAACCUCACACCUAAUUUUUACAGUAAUUGGUUUGUUCUGUGUCAUGUUUGUACGGUCUUAGGCUGCCGAGUCUCAGAGAAUUAGGUGAGUCUUUGAGUUAUUUCUGUGGACUUUGUCAGAUGGUCUCUGUCUGCCCUCUUACUCACUGUGAAACCCUUCAGCUUAGUUGACUCAGCUUUUAGGGCUAUUGCCUUGGCACAUCAUUUUGCCUAAAAUUGACCUUGCAUUCUUUCUGCUUAGUUUUUAUGCGAGGAUGCUGGACCAGGUGGCGCAUUGAUCCCUGCCAGUCCAGGCGACAGUGACACUGGAGUGCGGGCACUGGCUCGCGUUUCGUUUUUGUGCUGGCCGUUCCCGUUGGAUGGGUUAAGACCUAGUUCCCUGGGAAGUACUAUCUAGAGUAUCCUUUGAAACAGUUCUGGGUUCGAGUGACUUGAGAAGAAAAUCCUCCCAGUGGGACAUAGACGGAAGCACUUUGCUGGAAGAAGGAAAGUCGUUCAUGCAGCACUGGGGCACCUGUGAGUGUUGGACAGAACGCUCGGAACAGAUUACGUUUUACAUCAAUACAAGAAUCUUAUUCUUAAAGGACGUUGGAACUCUGGAAAUGGCUCAAGUUGCGAAUGCUUUCCGCGGUUGCUCAGAUUAUCGGCUUGUGGCAUUCCUGUGUUAAGCCGUCCAUGAGCCAGGCUGUGGGUUCCCCUGUGACCUCAGCCAGGCGGCCCUGGUCUGCUGUUGGCCUUCUGGAUGGAGAACCACCCUCCGGCAUCGGCACCCUAAUGAUGUUGAUGGCUCCAUCUGAAACAAAACUGCCUUCUAGAUCAGCUCUGUUCUCUUCCUGAAAGCCUAACUGCUGAGUUUUAGAGCAACGCAGGAAGAAAACCUGAAUGGCCGGACAGAAGGAACCCCACACCAGAAUGAUUUUUAUUCGCAGAUGCUCUUGCAUCCUUGUGUUAACAUAACCCUGGAAAAUGGAUUGAUGUUGCCUUAUGACUUUGGAAGAUAUGUAUUAUUUAUUAUAAGAAACAACUACUUUAUUAUAGGAACAAAAUAAUAGUAUUUAUCACAAUGCAUUUGUCAUAUACCCUUGGAAUUUCUGUGAGUAACCACCUUAUCUGUGUGUUUCACAGAAUUGAUGUUUGUCCUUAAGAGGGUGGAUCUCAACCCACAGACCAUCCCAGUUAUGACUUGGGUGUGUGUGUGCAACGGCGUAGUACCAAGUGCAUCCAUGUUUACUCUCCAGAGAGCUCACACCAGCCUGCUUCCUAGACUGUGCAGAGAAAGAGAGAUCAUAAUAUGCUUAAUGUGACUUUCCAGUAUAUGCGAUACAGAGUUGAAUUAGUUAGCUAUAACAAUCUUAUGUUUUAUAUUAAAUUCCUUGUUACCCUCCUGGAAGGGAGUUUGACUAUAGCAAAAACUGUAACAAGUGAUCAUCAAAGAAGUGUUUAUAAAUUGAUUAUUACUUCCUAGUAAGUAUUAAUCACAACACGGUACCUCAAAAAUCUGAGAUGCAGCUACACCAUGCUUAGAAAUUUACAGCUGCAAAUACUCUGUUAAAGAGAUUUUAAAUCAAUAGUCUAAGAUUCUACCUUAAAAAAAUUAGAAAAAGAGAAGCAACAGAAGUCCAAAGGAAACAGAAGGAAAGAAUAAAGAUUAGUAUGGAAAUCAGUGAAAUAGGAAACAAAAACAAUGCGGAAGAAUCAACGAAACCAAUAGCUGGGUCUUCAAAAAGAUCCACAAGUUUGACAUACUUUGAGCUACAGUGACAGAGAAGACAUGAAUUGCCAUUACCAAGAACGAAAGAGGGGACAUUACUAACAACCUUACAGAAGUUAGGGUUGUAAAUAAAUGCUGUGUACAACUUCAUGCCAACACACUGGACAAGUCAAGUGAGAUGGAAAAAUCUUAGACACAAGCUACCAAGAUGUAGUCAAGAAGAAAUGGAGGGUUUUAGUAGGCCUUUAACAAAUUGAAACAAAGCCAAGGGCCAGAUGGCUUCACUGGUGAAUGCCACCAAAUGUUGACAGAAGAAAUCAUGCCAAUCUUUUCACAGAUUUAGAAAAUAGAAGAGGGGUAUACUUAACUAGCUGUGUGCUCUGAGGCUCCUAUUACCCUGAUAGUAGGGCGAGACAAAAACGUAAUGAGAAUAUUGUGGACCGGUAUCCUUCAUGAAUUCUGAGUAUAGCUACAGAAACUUCAUCAACUCUAGUGACACACAGGCACAUCUCUGAGAUACUGCAGGUUGAGGUUGCUUUCCAGAAGCCAAUAUCACAAUAAAGUGAAUCAAAUGAAUUUUUUGGUUUCCCAGUACAUAUAAAAGUUAUGUUUAUACUGUAA